UGGUAGUAGAAAGGAUUUCGUCGCAGAGGAAGGAAGGUUCGCCGAGAGGCAUCGGAGAGAGGGGAUUCGUGGAGAGGCGUUUAGGGCUUCGUUGCAAAGAGGGAGAAGUUCGCGGCGGAGAGGCGUUUAGGGUUCGGUUUUGUUCGUGUUGAGGGAGAAGGUCGCGUUUGUGAGAACCAUCUUUCGUUUUCUAUUUUAUUAAUUAUAUUU
rnacentral:lncRNA from 1 species